rnacentral:rRNA from 1 species
AGCGAACGCUGGCGGCAGGCCCAACACAUGCAAGUCGAACGAAGUCUUCGGACUUAGUGGCGGACGGGUGAGUAACACGUGGGAACGUGCCUUUAGGUUCGGAAUAACUCAGGGAAACUUGUGCUAAUACCGAAUGUGCCCUUCGGGGGAAAGAUUUAUCGCCUUUAGAGCGGCCCGCGUCUGAUUAGCUAGUUGGUGAGGUAAAGGCUCACCAAGGCGACGAUCAGUAGCUGGUCUGAGAGGAUGAUCAGCCACAUUGGGACUGAGACACGGCCCAAACUCCUACGGGAGGCAGCAGUGGGGAAUCUUGCGCAAUGGGCGAAAGCCUGACGCAGCCAUGCCGCGUGAAUGAUGAAGGUCUUAGGAUUGUAAAAUUCUUUCACCGGGGAAGAUAAUGACGGUACCCGGAGAAGAAGCCCCGGCUAACUUCGUGCCAGCCGCCGCAGUAAAAC